ensembl:lncRNA
GGGGCCUUGGAACUGGCCAGCUUACUAGGGCAGAGAAGAAGCUGGGAGGUUACCCCUGGGCUCAGGGCGGAUUCCAGCAAUACUGGACGGGACAUUAGUUUUAUAGCCCUGUGACGAAUCUAGGGACAGAGUACCUGGAGCUGUUUUCUCAGACAUGCACUGGCCCAGGGCCUGCCCCUGGUUUAGCCUUGAACAGAGGAGCCAACAGAGGGGGAAGCACCCACUUCCUGCCCAGAGAGGGGCACGUUUCUGUGGGGCGAUUCUGCACUGUCCUUUUCUGCCUUGUCACAGCAUGUGGGAUCUAGUUCCCUGACCAGGGAGCAUGGAGUCUUAGCUGCUGGACCACCAGGGAGGUCCCUGCUCUCUGUGACCUUGACUGACGUUACUUGGCACCUUCCAACUUGGUGAAUCAACUUGCACGACUUGAAGGAUCUAGGUUCCCUGACCACGUAUUGAAGCGGGGCCACGGCAGUGAAAACCUGGAAUUCUAAGCACUAGGCAAGCGGGGAACUCCCCUGACCAUGGAUUUUAAUCAUACUGGCAAACUAUCUUCAAAGUACUACCCGUACUAGUGUUUGAUUGAGCAACUGGAGAUCGUAGCCUAGCGAAACUGACACAUAAAACUGACCAUCACAAGUAUGAUGGUAUUAUGGGUAUGUGCAAAAACAUCUUUGUUCUCAGAAGAUACAGCUUGAAAAAGUUAAGGACCCAUGUGAUUACCUUGGACCUACCUGCAUAACCCAAGAUAAUCUCACCGUCUCAGGAUCCUUCACUGAACUACAUCUGCAAAAUCAAAGAGAUCUACUGACCAUGGCUGGGACUCCAAGGAGAGAAUGGAGAAUCCUGGAAAGACAUAGCAGAUAUCUUUUCUUGAGUGCCACUUGCAACACCCCAAGAAUGAACAUUUUCCCCUGAGCCCACACUUGUCUUAGUUAUGUAUGGUUAUCUGUAUAGAAAAUUGAGGGCAGGAGGAGAAGGUGGCAACAGAGGAUUAGAUAGUUGGAUGGCGUCAUCAACCUGAUGGACAUGAGUUUGAGCAAACUCCGAGAGAUGGUGAUGACAGGGAAGCCUGGCGUGCUGCAGUCCAUGGGGUCGCAAAGAGUCAGACAGGACUUAGGGACUGAACAACAACAGUCUUUGUGGUUGAAUAGUAUGGAGGCCCAUUUUAAGCUGAGUUAGAGGAAAGGAUUUUCAACAUAGCAGUACUCAAGUAAACUGCUUGAAUGGUUGUUUUUCUGGAGUGAACCACAACUCAGCCUCAAAUUUGCCUGGAAAGAGGCACCUGAAGAUGAUAUGUCAACAUCUAGCACCCUGACUCAUAUUCUAUUCCUGCAACUGUGUGCUCUAUGGGAGCAGGGCGGUUAGGAGGGCCAAUGACCACAGGUUCUCAUCCUAGUUUAUCACUACCAGAUAUGUGACUUUGACUGAGUUUCUGAAUCUUUUAUGCCAACAUACCUAACCCAGAGUAGGUUUCCAUUUCUUUCUUCAGUGGAUCUUUCCCUGGGUCGGGAAGAUCUCCUGGAGAAGGAAAUGGCAACCAACUCCAGUAUUCUUGCCUGGAUUCCAUGGAUAGAGAAACCUGGAGGGCGGGUUGCAGUCCAUGGGGUCGCAAAGAGUCAGACGUGACUAAGCACGAGCAUGCACACACACCCCUAACCCAAAUAAGCAAACACAAUCUUUCUUGGUAGAUUUUUGGCAUUCUUCAGUAUUUGCAAUGGUGGGGGCCCAUUACGUGAACUUUUGCAGCUCCACUAUUGAGUUUCAAGGAAGAGAAGUCUCCGGCUGAGUCCUGCUACACAUAGAUGUCUAUUAGCAAGUAGGUACAGGACAUGUAUCGUCCCUAUUCAGUAAGUUUGGUGGAAGCUCGGCUAUUGAUUCCCUAUAGCACCCCUUGCAUAAAAGUCACCUCUGAGGCCAGUGCAGCUAUAUUUCAGUGGCAGGAUUCUGUGAGCUGUUUUGUUGGAGUCAGGCAACCAACAAAACCCUGGAAUCAGCAGGUACACUCAGGACCUUUUACAAAUGCUGAUCAGCCUUGGGGGUCAUUGAUAAGGGUUAAGUUUCUUAUGUACCACUGAUGCCAGUGGCUCUUGAAAUUAUAUUUUUCAUCUAUGUAUGUUGAACAAGCUAUUAAUUUGACCAAUGAAAACUCAUGUUUAAUAUCCAUUAGGCUAAUGAAAAAGCUUCAAGUGCUGGUGAGAGAUAAAAACAGCUGAGGAGCUUAUAGCAGCUCCCUCUGGAGUGGGGCCUUCUGAUUAGAUGCCAGCAAACCACCCAUGGAGUGUAUAUUCCUGAUUAGGGCAUGACUGUCAUGAGGGUGUAGGCCAAACGAACUAAUAUGCAUAUUUAUAGCACAUUGUUUAUGUUGAAAUAUUUUAAAGCAAGCUACAGAUGACAUGAGACCUCUCACACCCUGGCUUCCUCUUCUGUAAAAUGAGGGUAAUGACACCUACCUCACACGGUUGUCACCAGACUAAUAAACUAAGAGAAAGCUUAGUAUGUGGUUUAGUCAUUCAGUUGUGUCCAACUCUUGCAGCCCCAUGGACUGUACCCCUCAAGGUUCCUGUGUCCAUGGGAUUUUCCAGGAAAGAAUACUGAAGUGGGUAGCCAUUUCCUUCUCCAGGGGAUCUUCCUGACCCAGGGAUCGAACCCCCAUCUCCUGUGUUACAGACGAUCUCCUGCAUUGCAGGCAGAUUUCUUUACCAACUGAGCCACCAGGGAAGCUCAAAGCUUAGUAUAUUGCCUGGUAAAUACUAGCGGCUCAGAAGGUGUUAGCUGAUAUUGUUAUUUCUUGCCUAGAUACACUUAAGCAAACUUUUUUGAGAAAUUAUGUACCCUAUUGAACACUUCAAAGUUGACAUCUAAAACUUUUCAUUACAGACAUACGUAAUAGAAAAGGAUUUAAUUUCUGACAUGUAGCAAUUAUUACAAUUUUAAAUUAAAACUGAUAUAUCAAUCUUUUAAAUAUAUACAAUGAAAUCUAAAUACAAUGCUUGGGUGCCGGGUAUCCUGAUUUUAAAAACACACAAGCAAACUUUUCUUUCCUGUGAAAACUCUUCUGUGAUAAAGUAGGACAUUUUAUUUCUUUACUUUUUCUUCUUGAAUUUGCAUUUCCAUUUCACUUACCCUACAAAAUUUUCUUCUAAUGUAAUAUAUUGAAAGCCUCUUACUGAUUGGGCUGUUGAGUUUUUUGCAACAAAUGUAUGUAUGUAAAUAAAAGUUUUAUAAUUCAUUUUAUUUCCUGUUACCUUAAGCCUCCAAAUGUUAGAAAUAUUUAGUUUGGGUUACCAUCACAGUUAUUUUUUUUUUUUGUGAGGAGUUGAUCAGAAUGACAU